rnacentral:rRNA from 1 species
AUACAGAGGGUGCGAGCGUUAAUCGGAAUUACUGGGCGUAAAGCGCGCGUAGGCGGUUAUUUAAGUCAGAUGUGAAAUCCCUGGGCUCAACCUAGGAACUGCAUCUGAAACUGGGUAACUAGAGUUUAGGAGAGGGGAGUAGAAUUUCGGGUGUAGCGGUGAAAUGCAUAGAGAUCCGAAGGAAUACCAGUGGCGAAGGCGACUUCCUGGCCUAGAACUGACGCUGAGGUGCGAAAGCGUGGGUAGCAAACGGGAUUAGAUACCCCAGUAGUCC